ensembl:lncRNA
GGAGACUGAGAGACCGCCUGGUGCGGGGGGCUGCCACCAGAGGGCUGGUGCGUGGAGGAGGCACCGGAUAGACCGGACCAUGGAGGUGCACUGUAGGUCUCGAGCACCGAGCCUGCACAACCCUACCUGGCUGGAUACUCCCCGUAGCCAGGCCAGUGUGGCGAGGUGGUAUAGACCGCACUGAGCUGUGCUGGCGAACCGGGGACACCAUACGUAGGGCUGGUGCCAUGUACCCCGGCCCGAGAAGACCCACUGGAGACCAGAGGCGCUGAGCCGGCUUCAUGGCACCUGGCUCGAUGCCCACUCUAGCCCGGCCGAUGCGAGGCCCUGCUAUGUAUAACGCACCGGACUAUGCCUGCGCACCAGGGACACCGUGCGCCUCGCGGUAUAACACAGUGCCUGCCCGGUUCACCUCUUUCCACGGUAAGCACGGGGAGUUAGCUCAGGUCUCCUACCUGACUUAGCGACACUCCACAUGUGCCCCGUGUGCACUGCCGUGCCAACUCCUCAAAAUGCCGCCGCUCUGCUUUGGCUGCCUUCAGCUCUUCCCUGGGGCGGCGAUAUUCCCCAGCCUGUGUCCAGGGUCCCUUGCCAUCCAGAAUCUCCUCCCAUGUCCAGGAGUCUUGAGAUUUCUGCCGCUGCCCGUUACCACGCUGCUUGGUCCUUGGUUGGUGGGUGAUUCUGUAAUGGCUGUCUGUGGUGGAAGAAGGUGAGGACCAAUGCGUAGCGUGAUGAACGUGGUACCUUCAGGCAUCUGGAAAUUCCUCUGACACCGCCUGGUAUAGAGGUCCUGGAUGGCAGGAAGCUUGGCUCCAGUGAUGUACUGGGCCAUAUGCACUACCCUCUUUGAUUUGAUUUAUUAGGAUCCCCAUUUUUGUUUCAUCAGACCAGAGGACAUUUCUCCAAAAA